rnacentral:rRNA from 1 species
UACGUAGGUGGCAAGCGUUGUUCGGAAUUAUUGGGCGUAAAGAGCUUGUAGGCGGUUUGUCGCGUCUGCUGUGAAAUCUCGGGGCUCAACCCCGAACUUGCAGUGGGUACGGGCAGACUAGAGUGUGGUAGGGGAGACUGGAAUUCCUGGUGUAGCGGUGAAAUGCGCAGAUAUCAGGAGGAACACCGAUGGCGAAGGCAGGUCUCUGGGCCACUACUGACGCUGAGAAGCGAAAGCAUGGGGAGCGAACAGG